rnacentral:rRNA from 2 species
GUCACUUAUAUAGUGGAUGGACCCGCGUCGCAUUAGCUAGUUGGUGAGGUAACGGCUCACCAAGGCAACGAUGCGUAGCCGACCUGAGAGGGUGAUCGGCCACACUGGGACUGAGACACGGCCCAGACUCCUACGGGAGGCAGCAGUAGGGAAUCUUCCGCAAUGGACGAAAGUCUGACGGAGCAACGCCGCGUGAAUGAAGGCUUUCGGGUCGUAAAACUCUGUUGUUAGGGAAGAACAAGUGCUAGUUGAAUAAGCUGGCACCUUGACGGUACCUAACCAGAAAGGGCUAACUACGUGCCAGCAGCCGCGGUAAUACGUAGGUGGAGCGUUAUCCGGUAAUUAUUGGGCGUAAAGCGCGCGCAGGUGGUUUCUUAAGUCUGAUGUGAAAGCCCACGUCAACCGUGGAGGGUCAUUGGAAACUGUAUUAGCGGAGACUUGAGUGCAGAAGAGGAAAGUGGAAUUCCAUGUGUAGCGGUGAAAUGCGUAGAGAUAUGGAGGAACACCAGUGGCGAAGGCGACUUUCGUCUGUAACUGACACUGAGGAAAGCGUGGGGAGCAAACAGGAUUAGAUAUUAGUCCCUGGUAGUCCACGCCGUAAACGAUGAGUGCUAAGUGUUAGAGGGUUUCCGCCCUUUAGUGCUGAAGUCGCAUUAAGCACUCCGCCUGGGGAGUACGGCCGCAAGGCUGAAACUCAAAGGAAUUGACGGGGGCCCGCACAAGCUUGAUCGGUGGAGCAGUUUAAUUCGAAGCAACGCGAAGAACCUUACCAGGUCUUGACAUCCUCUGAAAACCCUAGAGAUAGGGCUUCUCCUUCGGGAGCAGAGUGACAGGUGGUGCAUGGUUGUCGUCAGCUCGUGUCGUGAGAUGUUGGGUUAAGUCCCGCAACGAGCGCAACCCUUGAUCUUAGUUGCCAUCAUUUUGGGCACUCUAAGGUGACUGCCUUAGUCGGUGACAAACCGGAGGAAGGGGGAUGACGUCAAAUCAUCAUGCCCCUUAUGACCUGGGCUACACACGUGCUACAAUGGACGGUACAAAGAGCUGCAAGACCGCGAGGUGGAGCUAAUCUCAUAAAACCGUUCUCAGUUCAUAUGUACGGAUUGUAGGCUGCACGCCUACAUGAAGCUGGAAUCGCUAGUAAGCGGA